GGCAAGUGCACGUGCGCCACGUUAAGAAAUGUAGAAGCGGAUGAAGAAGGACGAAAGGGAAGAGUGGAGAGAUACCUCAUCUUUAAAGAAAAGGUUAUAUAUUAGCGACCAGGGCUGUAUUCUCUCUCUCUCUCUCUCUCUCUGCAUCAUAGGACACACUGAAAUUAUGAAUUAACGACCAUAACUACAUUCAGCAUUAUAGGAAAUAUCGGUUGUAAAGGGUGUCCCAAAAUUCAUGCAAGAUUUGAAUUUUGCGCUAUUUGUGCGGUAAAGUGCUGCCAAU